CCGGCACGGGUGAGUAACGUGUAUCCAACCUGCCGUCUACUCUUGGACAGCCUUCUGAAAGGAAGAUUAAUACAAGAUGGCAUCAUGAGUCCGCAUGUUCACAUGAUUAAAGGUAUUCCGGUAGACGAUGGGGAUGCGUUCCAUUAGAUAGUAGGCGGGGUAACGGCCCACCUAGUCUUCGAUGGAUAGGGGUUCUGAGAGGAAGGUCCCCCACAUUGGAACUGAGACACGGUCCAA
rnacentral:rRNA from 1 species